GACGAAAGUCUGAUGGAGCAACGCCGCGUGGGUGAAGAAGGUUUUCGGCUCGUAAAGCUCUGGUGUUCGAGAAGAACGAACGAGAGAGUAACUGUUCACUUUUCGACCGUAACCAACCAGAAAGUCACGGCUACCUACGUGCCACGAGCCGGGGUAAUGCUUAUGUGGCAAGCGUUGUCCGGAUUUAUUGGGCGUAAAGGGAGCGCAGGCGGUCAGUUACGUCUGAUGUGAAAGCCUUCGG
rnacentral:rRNA from 1 species